GCGGGCGUGGUGUAACGGUUGCACGUGAGCCUUCCAAGCUCGAGGAUGCGGGUUCGAUCCCCGUCGCCCGCU
rnacentral:tRNA from 1 species